rnacentral:lncRNA from 1 species
ACACACCACUGCCAGCAUACACAGAAAGACAUAUUCUGAAACAGAGACUCUAGGAAGGCUGUAUGUGAAGGUGGCUGGCAUUGGUUUCCAUAGAGUCCCGGUAAAAAGAUGCUUAAAGGAGAAGGAGGAUGAAGUUUCAAUCCCUUGAGUGGAAGAUUGGGACCAUCUUGAGGCUGUGUGACUCUGUGGAGUCAAGCACUUAGCAAAAGAUUUGUGUUUUUCUAGUCUCUUCUUCAAAGACUGAAUGAUAGUGGUUGCUAGCACAGCUCUGGUGGCUCUGGGGAAUGAUGCAGCUGAGAUUGUUCAAGAAUGACUGACCAGUGAUUGCUGACCUCUGCAGGAUGGAUUAAGUCUGAUGACCUCUGCUAGCCCUACACAGAAUUUCCUGAAAGCAUCUAGCCUUCAUUACCUCACUUCUCUGGAGUUCCUGUUUCCCCUCUCCCCUGAAACCCUGAGACUCUGGAAAUAAUUUCAAUCAGGGUAGAAGACAAAAA